AGUGAACGCUGGCGGUAGGCCUAACACAUGCAAGUCGAACGGCAGCACAGUAAGCGCGUGCUCUUACGGGUGGCGAGUGGCGGGCGGGUAAGGAAUACAUCGGAAUCUACUUUUUCGGGGGGGAUAACGGAGGGAAACUGACACUACUACCGCAUACGACCUACGGGUGGAAUCAGGGGAGCUUCGCGCCUUGGGUGAUUGUUUUAGCUGAUGUCGGAUUAGCUAGUUGGCAGGGUAAAGGCACACCAAGGCGACGAUCCGUAGCUGGUCUGAGAGGAUGAUCAGCCACACUGGAACUGAGACACGGUCCAGACUCCUACGGGAGGCAGCAGUGGGGAAUAUUGGACAAUGGGCGCAAGCCUGAUCCAGCCAUACCGCGUGGGUGAAGAAGGCCUUCGGGUUGUAAAGCCCUUUUGUUGGGAAAGAAAAGCAGCAGGUUAAUACCCCGAUGUUCUGACGGUACCCAAAGAAUAAGCACCGGCUAACUUCGUG
rnacentral:rRNA from 1 species